AGUGAACGCUGGCGGUAGGCCUAACACAUGCAAGUCGAACGGCAGCACAGUAAGAGCUUGCUCUUACGGGUGGCGAGUGGCGGACGGGUGAGGAAUACAUCGGAAUCUACUUUUUCGUGGGGGAUAACGUAGGGAAACUUACGCUAAUACCGUAUACGACCUACGGGUGAAAGCAGGGGAUCUUCGGACCUUGCGCGAUUGAAUGAGCCGAUGUCGGAUUAGCUAGUUGGCGGGGUAAAGGCCCACCAAGGCGACGAUCCGUAGCUGGUCUGAGAGGAUGAUCGGCCACACUGGAACUGAGACACGGUCCAGACUCCUACGGGAGGCAGCAGUGGGGAAUAUUGGACAAUGGGCGCAAGCCUGAUCCAGCCAUACCGCGUGGGUGAAGAAGGCCUUCGGGUUGUAAAGCCCUUUUGUUGGGAAAGAAAAGCAGCAGGUUAAUACCCCGCUGUUCUGACGGUACCCAAAGAAUAAGCACCGGCUAACUUCGUG
rnacentral:rRNA from 1 species